rnacentral:rRNA from 1 species
UUUGACCUCAAAUCAGGUAGGACUACCCGCUGAACUUAAGCAUAUCAAUAAGCGGAGGAAAAGAAACCAACAGGGAUUGCCUCAGUAACGGCGAGUGAAGCGGCAAAAGCUCAAAUUUGAAAUCUAGCGUCUUUGGCGUUCGAGUUGUAAUUUGAAGAUGGCAACCUUGGGUUUGGCGCUUGUCUAUGUUCCUUGGAACAGGACGUCAUAGAGGGUGAGAAUCCCGUCUGAUGAGCAGCCCAUUCCUUUGUAAGGUGCUAUCGAAGAGUCGAGUUGUUUGGGAAUGCAGCUCUAAGUGGGUGGUAAAUUCCAUCUAAAGCUAAAUAUUGGCGAGAGACCGAUAGCGAACAAGUACAGUGAUGGAAAGAUGAAAAGAACUUUGAAAAGAGAGUGAAAAAGUACGUGAAAUUGUUGAAAGGGAAGGGCAUUAGAUCAGACUUGGCUCUACGUGAUUAUCUUUCCUUCUUGGAGGGUGCACUCAUGUAGGUGCUGGGCCAGCAUCGAUUCGGUUGCGGUGGGAUAAUAGCUUGGAAAUGUGGCUACUUCUUCGGGGGUAGUGUUUAUAGUCCUUGCUGAUACCAUCUGCCUGGAUCGAGGGCUGCGUCUUUUGACUAGGAUGCUGGCGUAAUGAUCUAAUGCCGCCCGUCUUGAAACACGGACC